rnacentral:rRNA from 1 species
UACGUAGGGGGCGAGCGUUGUCCGGAAUUAUUGGGCGUAAAGAGCUCGUAGGCGGUGUGUCGCGUCGGCCGUGAAAACUUGCAGCUUAACUGUGGGCGUGCGGUCGAUACGGGCAUCACUGGAGUUCGGCAGGGGAGACUGGAAUUCCUGGUGUAGCGGUGAAAUGCGCAGAUAUCAGGAGGAACACCGGUGGCGAAGGCGGGUCUCUGGACAGUUCCUGACGCUGAGGCACGAAGGUCAGGGGAGCAAACGGG